rnacentral:rRNA from 1 species
UACAGAGGGUGCGAGCGUUAAUCGGAUUUACUGGGCGUAAAGCGUGCGUAGGCGGCUUUGUAAGUCGGAUGUGAAAUCCCCGAGCUUAACUUGGGAAUUGCAUUCGAUACUGGGAAGCUAGAGUAUGGGAGAGGAUGGUAGAAUUCCAGGUGUAGCGGUGAAAUGCGUAGAGAUCUGGAGGAAUACCGAUGGCGAAGGCAGCCAUCUGGCCUAAUACUGACGCUGAGGUACGAAAGCAUGGGGAGCAAACAGG